rnacentral:lncRNA from 1 species
GUACAUUUGGACCAGUGGGAAAUGGUGUUCACACUGGCCCUGAAUCAAGGGAACACCAGUUUUCACAUGCUGGCAGAAGCAAUGGCCGGGGACUUAUAAAUCCACAACUACAAGGAACAGCUAGUAAUCAAACAGUGAUGACCACAAUAAGUAAUGGCAGGGACCCUCGGAGAGCCUUUAAAAGAUGACCUAUGCUAAAUACUCAUGUGUAGUUUUUAUACUACAUGCCCUACUUGAACACUUAUUGCACUUUUAUUUAUUGUUAACUGUGAAAAGUACGUCCUUUAUUGGGUUUCCUUUUAUAUUCUUGGUUUGUUAAGAAGAAUGGUUUGUUUUUAUAGCAAAACUGUUAAGCUGCUCGAGUCUCCUGUUGAAGAAUGGGAACACUGAAAAGUAGGGGCAUUUAUUUUUAGAGUAAAAAGAUUAUUGGAUAGCCUUUAAAAAACCUGCACCCAUUUCAUGGGUGAGUUACUUAAGACAUCAGCUUUAUAGCCUCUAUGAGUCUAUCUUCUGUAUAAGUUUUGUAAUAUUUAACAUAAGGCUUAAUGGGAGAUGUUCUUUUGUCUUGUAUUCAGAUAUUGCCAACUAAAGCAAUAACCAUCAAAAAACACAAGAACUUGUCAAUGCUAGCAGUAAUUUUUGAGUGUUUGUGGCUCUCGGAAUGAUUGACUUCGUUCAGUGACUACUAUUAAGAUUUUCCAAGGACUGACUCAUCCCAAAUUUUUGUUGUAUUACCAAAAAAACAGAUUCCUUAUCAGAAUUUGGAAUAGAAUGUGAUCUCUAUUGCAACAAGUAAUUUUAAAAGAAAGCUACAUUUAUUUUAGAGUAGUGCUCCUAACAUGUAUUAUCAACUUUGUGGAUUACAUUGGAGGAAAAUUUAAAACUGGGGCCUUGAAUAUUUAUUUUUUGAAACUACCAUGUUAAAUACUGAAGUAUAAUUUGGGGGAGUUAUAAAGUUAUGAUAAACAUUCAUCUGAUUAUUUUAAACAAUAGUUGUGGUAGAUAAACAUACUGGAGGUGAGUCAAAUUGAAUUCAUAUAGUAACAUGCAGUCUGAAGUCCUAGUUACUUAAUAGGUACUCAGCCUGGAGUGAAAAUCCUGGGUACUGACUUUGAGAGGAGUGAGUGUGCAUGUUGUCAAAGUUUCUGAACACAGUUCACAUAGCCUUAUUAGCAAAAGUUUUAAGAAAUGGCUCUAUCAAAGAAGCAAUUGCAGCUUUAUUCAGAAAUAUAAAAGUGGAAUUUAUGUACAUGUCAUAAGUGGUACCCACUUCCCCUUUUUACUGUAGGGUGGAUAACUCUUAGGAUUUAACUCUUUGAAUAUUAUCUCUUGAAUAAAGCAUGUGUUAAUGUU